rnacentral:lncRNA from 1 species
AACAUACUUAUGGACUUAUUCUUAGCCGAAUUCCCGAAAAAUUUCCGAGGCAAUGCAGAAGUAUUCGAAUUUGCACGUGAAGUAUCAGAGCUUGUGGCAACAGUUUUAUUCUUCAGGGAGGAUUUGUACUCCAACAUUGGAAACUCUAGUUUUGCAGAAGCCUCAACGACAGAAGGAACUACCAUUGAUUAUGAUUACAAUGAUGAUAAUGAAACUUUGAGCACUUUGGAACCAGGAGGUGAAAAAGAUGGGACAUUGUGUGAAAUUUGCAAUGAAGUUGUUCAAAGAGUCAAGCCUUACAUCCAAAUUCCAAUUUUACAACAAUUCUUACAUUCUGAAAUUGAUGAGUCCUGCUAUCAUAUCCAACCUCUUCUCUUUUCAAAGCAUGCUUCAUGAAACUGCAUUGUAUGACAUAAGCGGACGUUUGGAUGACAUUUGUACUUUAUCUGAACCUCAGUUCUGUCCUUCAAACUCAGCUCCUUAUAGUUCAAUCAGUGACAGCAGUAAGUGGCACAGCAUGGAGGACCUUCGAGAUAUUGACAAAGAAGAUCAGUCAAAUCUAAAAAACGCAGCAAAAGAUGAAACUAGUACAGAAUUUGACAGUAAAAAAGAAGCACUAGUUCCUGUUUUACCCCAAAACAUGGCACUGGUGCCUUUUAUGCCCCGUGAGGCAAAAAAAUUCUCUCCAGCCCCGCAUCAAAUCAAAGACAGCGCAAUCAUCUCUGACUUUGUACCAGCAGCAGCUGAGCCUGUCCUGGACUGUGCAAUUUGCAAUGAAAUAUGGAGAAAAUUCAGCCCAACAUCCAAGGCUCCAAAAACUUAGAAGAAAUCAAAGAUCUCAUAAUGCGAGCAUGCUUUUCAAUGGUACCCUCGCAUUUCUCUCAGGUGAGAAGUUUCAUCCCUAAGUAGUAAUUAUUUUAUUUGCAAGAGCUAAUAUUCAACACUUUUUCAAAAGUAUUUAUUUCUAUUGUAAGUAGAGCUGCUGACAAGCAAUGGUAUCAAAGUUCUGGACUUUUUUAUCUAGAGAUGUAAGCAAUCUGAAACUGGA